UUCUGGUUGAUCCUGCCGGACCUGACUGCUAUCGGAUUGAUACUAAGCCAUGCGAGUCAUUGUAGCAAUACAAGGCAUACGGCUCAGUAACGCGUAGUCAACCUAACCUAUGGACGGGAAUAACCUCGGGAAACUGAGAAUAAUGCCCGAUAGAACAUUAUGCCUGGAAUGGUUUAUGUUCCAAAUGAUUUAUCGCCGUAGGAUGGGACUGCGGCCUAUCAGUUUGUUGGUGAGGUAAUGGCCCACCAAGACUAUUACAGGUACGGGCUCUGAGAGGAGUAGCCCGGAGAUGGGUACUGAGACACGGACCCAGGCCCUAUGGGGCGCAGCAGGCGAGAAAACUUUGCAAUGUGCGAAAGCACGACAAGGUUAAUCCGAGUGGUUUCUGCUAAAGAAACCUUUUGUCAGUCCUAGAAACACUGAUGAAUAAGGGGUGGGCAAGUUCUGGUGUCAGCCGCCGCGGUAAAACCAGCACCUCAAGUGGUCAGGAUGAUUAUUGGGCCUAAAGCAUCCGUAGCCGGCUCUGUAAGUUUUCGGUUAAAUCUGUACGCUCAACGUACAGGCUGCCGGGAAUACUGCAGAGCUAGGGAGUGGGAGAGGUAGACGGUACUCGGUAGGAAGGGGUAAAAUCCUUUGAUCUAUUGAUGACCACCUGUGGCGAAGGCGGUCUACCAGAACACGUCCGACGGUGAGGGAUGAAAGCUGGGGGAGCAAACCGGAUUAGAUACCCGGGUAGUCCCAGCUGUAAACUAUGCAAACUCAGUGAUGCAUUGGCUUGUGGCCAAUGCAGUGCUGCAGGGAAGCCGUUAAGUUUGCCGCCUGGGAAGUACGUACGCAAGUAUGAAACUUAAAGGAAUUGGCGGGGGAGCACCACAAGGGGUGAAGCCUGCGGUUCAAUUGGACUCAACGCCGGAA
rnacentral:rRNA from 1 species